rnacentral:rRNA from 1 species
CCGCCCGUCACGUCAUGAAAGUUGGAGACGCCUGAAGUCGGUCAGCCAACCUCUUUGAGGAGGCAGCCGCCGAGGGUGGUGCCAGCGAUUGGGACG